rnacentral:lncRNA from 1 species
AAUUAAUCUUUCACUAACACUCUCUGCUUUUCAUUCCAGGAAUCAAACCCGAGUCUCCUGCGUCUCCUGCAUUGUCAGGCAGGUUCUUUACCACUGAGCCACGAGGGAAACCCUAUAUGUUCUCUAACACAAUGCUGAAAAUUGCGUUCCAAGUUUGGUGUGGAGCGUAAAUACACGUGUGAAUUUUCACAUUUCACAUUUUCCCAAGGCGAGUUACUUUGGUCUCACCUGCUAUAGAAGGAGUUUUCUACUGCCCCUCCUAUCUCCUGUCAUAGAUUCAGUUUUCCAGGAAGUCAGCAUACAGUGAGCCAACAGCUAUCCUGUCUCCUCCGAGAAAAAGCAAAUUGGUUUCCAUCGCUACCUGGCCCGCAGAAUCAGUUUACAGGAUGGUUUGCCAUUUCUGCUAAAAGGGGACUCCAUACUGUAAACUG